GAUUUUCUCCUUUAUAAUCCCUAAAAAAAUAUUCUCUUGAUUUCUUUGAAUUUGAUUUUUUAUUUUGAUUACUAAAUAUUCCAAAUCUGGUUUUAUUGAUUGUGAAGGUUUUAUUGUGGAAUUUGUAAGUACGCAGAAUCAGUCGGGUGUUGUUGGUUUAUCUUAAUAGAAUUUAGUCGCUUAGAUAUAUGAGAUUUGUGGGAAUAUGUUGGGUUAAUCUGGUUGUUUUAGUAUCUCUUGAUGAUCCCUUACUGAUUCUGAGAAGAAUGGUCCUUUGGUUAUUCAGAAAUGAUGGAUUUUCACAUCGUUGACUACUUAUGAAGAUAAAUUAGGACUUUAUACAACAAUCAGAAGGUGGAGUUGAAUAAAAGUGAAAAAAAUGAGUCUUACAGAGUUAGAUGCGUGUCCAAGAGAAGGUUGUGCAUGGAUGGUGAAUGAGAGGAUUCUUCCCUGAAGAAGCAGUUGAAACUUAGGAAGUUAGGGUUACACCCACGCGUACUGAUGUUACAUUAGAGCUACUAGAACUCAAUAUUGUUCUUGGAUAAGGUUGUGAAUCCUUUAUUUGAAAAGCGUCCAAAACAGUUUGGCAUUGGUGGUGCGUUGCCUCCAAAAAAGGAUUUGCAUAGGUUCGUGAAAUGGCUAAAAGUUGUCCGCAUUCAGCUACAGAGGAGGAGGAUACUCAAGCAACGUUUGAAGGUUCCACCUACUUUGAACCAGUUCACUAAAACCCUAGACAAAAACCUUGUUACAAACCUAUUCAAAAUGUUGCUCAAGUUAUGUCCAGAGGACAAGGCUGCUAAGAAGGAAAGACUAUUGAAAAGAGCACAGGCUGAAUCAGAGGGAAACACUGUCGAGGCAAAGAAGCCGAUUUGUUGUGAAAUAUGGGCUUAACCAUAUUACCUACCUCAGUGAGCAGGGCCUGCUAUGGUAUUUUGAGAUUUGACAUGAAAACUGGUACCAAGGGUAGCGAGGGCCUUCUAUGGUGUUCUGAGAUUUGUCAUGAAAACUGGUACCAAGGGUUGCGAGGUUAUUUUGUAAGGAACUUGUGGAAGCUCGUGCAAAGUCAAUGAAGUUCAAAGAUGGAUACAUGUCGACUCAGCCGUCAGACACGUCUUUUUUGGGCAGGUCAGUUUUUGUUGUUUCAGAGAUUGAUUGGUUUGUUUAUAUGGUGUCAAGGUUGGGAGUUCUUCCUUAGCUUGCUGGGUAUAGCACCUUUGGCCUGGCGUUUAGGAUAUGCGACUGAGUAAGUUAUAUUUGGCUUGUGGGACUUGUAAAUGUACUAUUCUAAUGUGUUCUGUAACUAAUGCUAACUCAUGUCUGUUAUUUUUUUUUGUUUGAUCGGUCUCAUGUCUGUUAUUCUUAUCGUGCAAUCUAGCUGUGUCAUAUAACUAAUGUUAAUUCAUGUCAUGUUGCUCUUAUUGUCCAAUAUAGGCAAUUGGCAUUUUUCACAUGGCCUACGUACUGGUAUGCUAUUACAUAUACUAUUGAUUUGUUGCUUGAGAGUUGUUCACAUAGAUAUCCUAUCGAUCUAAUAUUCUAGUGUAAAUGCAAUUAAAAUGGGUUUAUCCAUCCAACAGGCAGGUGCAGUGGUGAAUUCAGGAUUUCCUUGAUGUCUGUCAUGGUGUAAUGUUGCUAGCUGUGCUUCACUUUAAGCAGUGUUAUUAUGCUUAUUGCAUAAGCAACUACUUUUUUUUUAAUUGAAGAGUCCAGGUAAUCUUUAUAAGCCAACUCCCGUUGAAGAGGUGAGAUUUUCUAAAUGGAAGGUCCUAAUUCUCGGUUUAAGUUUUCUUCCCAAUACUUCAUCAUUUAUAUUUCAUGAAAAAUGACGGAAGUGAUAGUCAUCGCUAGUGAACAGAACGAACUAAAUUAUGAAGAUGCAACUUCUAAUAAUUGUUACCUAAAAUCUUUGUAGGUGAAGGAUCCAAAGGAAGAGGAGCCCUGCGAUGAUGAGGCGCCUGAGGUUCAACUGGAUCAGCUGCUACUUCUACUACUACACCAAAACAUGUGCCCACCGCCAAAGGUCAAGCACUUGCUGACGAGUGUGGUAUCAAAUUCUUUGAGACUGUAAGCAAAAAUCUCCCUGGUGUGUACGAAUCUAAAUGUGGAGCUUCUCUUUUCCUGUAAGGUGUUCAUGUAAGAUUGUAUACACUGAAGAGAAUGAUAACUCGAAUAUAUCCUUAACGAGUUUCGAAACCCAAACCUGGGCGCUAUAAAUUCUGGGUUGAAUCAUGAGGGCAUUGGUAGCGCUGGUGUCAAAAAGAUUGUUCAGUAUAAAGCUUAUUAAUAACUGAAGCUGACUGAUUUAUAUUAACUGAUGUUUGAUCUUUCAAAUUCAGAAACUAGGGUUCUUGAGCAAAGUUAGGUAAUCUGAAAUUUAGUGGUAUUCUGUAGAUUGUUGUUUCUUUUUUAAAUCACCCCAAUUAAUUCUAUGGGUUUUGUAUCUAUGCUUCUAGAGUUUGAAAGCCUAAUUUAUGAGAAAUUUAUGUUCUUGAUGGUGAUGUAAAAAUGAUAAAUCAAAUGUUCUUAUUGUGGAUAUUCAGGAGCAGAAAUCUGCCGGAACUAUUGUCGG